GUGUAUCACAGGCACGUUCAUGUUGUCUCUUGCAGGCAUGUGGGUGUUGUGUCUUAGGCAUGUUAACAUUGUCUCUUUAGUCUACUAAUUAUGCUACACUGCAUCUGCCUCGCACUUUCAAAAAAACAACAACCCGGAAAUGACUGAAGAUGAAGGACUUCUAUAAGCAGUCAUUGGAAACGAAGAGCUUUCCAUUCCCCUGUGGCUUGGAGAACUCUCCCAAAAGCAAAUCAAUGCACCAGGGUCUCAUUGAUCCUCCUGUGUGACAGGCCCAAGAAGAGAUUCAAGCAGCAGCCCAUGACUCAACCUGUAUAAAUCAAGAGAGGAUAUGAAGGCAGCAUUGGGAAACUUCCACAAAGAGACUGGAGCUGCUAUUUCUGGAUGGCUAAAAAAAAAUGGAGUCUUUCCCAGAAUGGAAAAAUCCCAGGAUUUCCCAGUCUACAAGGUGUUACCCAGCCAGGUACCAGUCUUGACUGGGUCCUCUCAUACCAGAAGCAGAGAAUAUUACUAGGUAUGGGUGUGACUUUUAACUCCCAGCACUGCAGAGCCAGCAAUCUCUCCCUUGUCUGCUGCAGUUCAUUUCAGUGUCCAUAGAAGAGGUGCACAAGAGAUCUGAAGAGCCCAAAAGAUCCUAUCUGAAGGGAUUUGAACAUCCUCUCAUCCUCUGACUGUUCCAUGAAGGGCCUCUGGCUUGAUUAACUGGCUUCACAGCAUUCAUAUAUAAGGGAGUUGCAGUGGAGCUGAAAGGAACAGUGCAGAAGGCCUUAAGUUCCAAGCAGAUCCUGGCUAUGAGUUUGAAAAGCUGUGCAUUUGUCUUCUGGCUCCUCUACAUCAGCUGAGAACCACUGCUGGUGUGAACAGAGAUUACUUUGCCCUUCCCUGAACCAAUGCCUCUUGGACUGGAUUCAACUCCCCUGCUCUGUCAAUUAAAGCAAGUGUUUAGUGUGGGAACCUGGAACCUUAGUAGUGCCCACCCCACAUGCUCUCUUGACAAGGUGGCACUACUCUACUUGUCUUUUAACCCCUGCCCGAGGCCCAGGCAUCAUGUCCUGUUGGCAGCUGUUCCUCAUGUCUUCCUCCAGUAAUUGAUUUCUGGUUGAUGGAGCAUACAACAGGCAUUUACUAUCUAUAUCAUUCCACUCUGUUAUUUUUGGAGCUCUUCACAGUGCCAGAAUCGCAGCCCUGGAGACUGGAAGCCUAUAUUUAUCCCGUGUAACAGUGGCACCAGCAUAACUGACUCAUCUUUGGCCAGAGUAAGAGUUAUAUAGCAUCCCCUUGUGCCAGCCUGGAGUUCAUCCCACAGGGACCAUCAGGAAGUCAGGGGGUGAGAGUUUGAACCAUGUGUCCUUCAGUGCUUGGCAAUCUGAAUGAAAUUAACCAAAAGGAAGCCAACUGGAGGGUAGAUUUCAGAAGCAUAGCUCAGUACCUGGAGUCAGGAUCAGAUUUCUAGGGCUCAGCACCCACAGCUGGAGUCUGAAUCCUACCUGAGGGAACUGAAGAAGCUGGAGAAACUAAAUGAGAAGAAAGAUCAAACAAUAACUUUGGAACAAACCAGCAUCAGGGAUACCCAAUUCCCUACCCAUCUUUAUCCCAUCUGCUCUGGAGGAGGCAUGCAGCUCCUACUCCAGCUUUUAGCUUUGCAGGUCAGUUCAGUCCUUGGUGUCAGCCAAGAUAGCCUUCAUCACAUUUACAUCUGUUGUAUGGGACCAUGCUCCCACCAGCCAUGUAGAAUAUAAACGUCCGCUCCCACUCCCUUGGGUGGGAGAUUAAGGCAUCAUCACAUCCUUGGUCAGAAGAUUCUCAAAGCAGGAAAUAACAUAGAAUAGGUCUUGAUGAUCUCAAUAUAAAUCUAAAUCUUCUUGUGCCAGUUUCAGUUCAGAUAAUUCAGGGCAUCUUGGUGAUCUGAAUCAAGAGCUGAGGCAGACUCUGAGGCUAUUAUACGUGGAUACAGAUGCAUGGUUAGGAGACUGCAGUGCACAUAACAGAUAGAUGCUAAACAGCCCCAAAUCAGAUAUUAGUCUACUAAGUGGGCAUGGUGAUGAACCCAGUUAGCCAGUGGAGGCCAUACUCCCCCCGCUGCACCACGCACCCACAUGCCUUAUGCCUCUCAGACAUUCCAGACUGCAGGUUCCCCCAGCACUGUGGGCUGCAGUGCACUGCACUUCCCUGUCCCUUGGAAGAAGUAAAGGGAAGUCAAAGAAGGAGGGAGACUGGAGACUCCAGAUGCUUCUCCAGAGUAGCAUGUUGAGUGGGAGCUGGGUGGAAACCCAGGGACCACAAUUUAACCCUUUGCAGGCUUCAUAUGGCCCACAGGCCACCAGGUGGUUUAAGUGAAUGAACUGAAGGGUGCAUCAACUUGCAGUACAGCUCUGGCUCCUUCCCUUCAUUUGCUCUUGCCUCCACUUAAGCAGAUGUGUAAUUAAUCUGGAAUUUAGGGCCCUAGAGGUUCUAUCCUUAACCUUGCCACUGACUAGCUAUAUAAAGUCAGGCAUCUCUCAUGGUAAGGGUGGCCAAAAUUUGGAAUGGGCUUCCAAGGGAAGUGGUGCCCUCCCCUACCUUGGGGUCUUUAAGAGAAAGCUGGAUAGGCAUCUGGCUGGGGUCAUCUGACCCCAGCACUCUUUCCUGCCUAGGCAGGGGGUCAGACUCAAUGAUCUGUUGAGGUCCCUUCCAACCCUAGCAGCUAUGAAUCUAUGAAUCUCCCAGUUUCCUACCUGUAGAAUGAGGGUGAUGAUAAUCUCUCCUUUAUGUAGUUAGGCUGUAAACGUUUCCAGGUGAGACUGUCCCUUAUUAUAUCUCUGUACAACGCUGAGCCCACUGAGGCCCUGAGCUGGGUCAGACUUUAUAAAUUCUGUGGUAAGAGAACCAGUAACAUGGGACAUUCAGUGCUGAUAUCACACAUAGUUGCAGCCCAUGUAGUAAUGCAAGCUGUCAACAGUGGCACACAAGUCCAUCCCACUGCAAACAAGAGACUAUAGGAGAGCAGCUAAGGAGCUGUCAUUUUUGCCUUCUAUCUUUAACAUCUCAAAAGCUGGAAGAUGUGUAGGCAGUGGGAAGAUGGCAGUGAAGAGCUUAUCUCAAUGCAGCACAUUGUUUGAUUCAUUACUAAUUUAGUUCAGAACUGAGGGGCACUUCCAAAAUGAUGUGUGUGGGUAGCCAGGAGCUAAGAAAGCAAGGAGGCUAUGGGAUAGGAUGGAAGGGCACUGGCAGAGAUGUGUGUGGGCAGUCCAGGACUGGAAUAGCAGGGGAAGCUGUGGAACUGAGCUGACAGGCAUUGCAGAGCUGUAUGUGUUGGUGAGCCUAAGGCUGGGUUAGCCAGGAAGCUGUGGGAAAGGAUUAAUGGCCACCAGUGGAGCUGAAGAUUGGGAAAUACACAGUUUAAAUGGCAGAGGACUGCAGAACAGGAGUGGGUACUCUUUAGUAGGAGGGGGUCCACUGCUGAACAGCUGAGGUCUCUACAAUGGACAUAUUAAGGGGAGUAGGUCAACUGUACAGCUUUGAUCCUGUCUCCCUCAUGUUGCUUCUAUACUGAUGUAGCUCCAUUGCUUCAUUGUCCAGUCAUUCCUGUUCAUGUGAAGCAGAUCAGAAUCAGGCCCUGCAUGCCCAGCCCCUUGGUGCCAUGCCCAUCCUGUAGUGUGGGUUCUGGUUCCCCCUUUCCCAGUAUUCUGCCUAGUCAUCGCAUGCAAAAUCCCCCAGUCUGCUCUUCUGCUCUAUGCAGGAGCAGUUUUGUAAGAGUCCACUGCCAGAUUGCAUCAAAUAGGAGAAAGCACAGCUCUAUUUGUUCAGUCUCCUUUGCUGGGCUCAUAUCUUUAUUUCUGCUUCUCUGUCGGGGUCUGUGGUGUGCACAAGUUGCCAGAGGUAGCAGUUGGAUAAUGCAUGUAUACAUACCCACCAGUGUAUACGUGUGUGUGCAUUGAUGGGUUGUGCUAGUUAUCUUUCUUCCCCAGUAUGAGACACAGCCAUGGGAGAUCUGAUACUGUCUAGGUCAGGAUGUGACUCCAGUUGGCUGUGGCAUGUUUUAUCAUCUCCUUUCUUCCCGAAUAGAAAUGGCAGCACUCACUGCUUGCUUGUCUGCUGAGAGGGCUUUGAGGGCAUGUCAUAGUUGGAUAGGUCUUGCCAAGUCUUUGCCUUUAACCACAGUGAACCAGGCUUUGGCUCCUUAGCUCAGGCUGCUGGCUGAGAUCAGUCACUGGCUGAGAUGCAGUGUAGGGUGGGAAAAGCUGGAGCAAUGGACUUGAGUGUGCUCCAGGACCAGAUAGGAGCUUAUCCCUGCCAUAGAUGCCCAGAGUAGAAGGUUAGUGCCCAAAUGGGACGUGCGCUCAAAUGAACCAGCUGGGGUGAGGCUGGCCUACAUGAGUGUGAUGUGUAGGGUAUCAUAGUAACAGCAUUAGAAUGGGGACAGUAGCUUUGGGGUCCAAAAAGCCAAUCAGAUUUGAGUCAAAGUAACUGAGGUUCACAUUCACUCAAGAAUCAGAGGAUGUUGAAGAGUGAAGUGGGGGGUGCUCUCUGUAAUUCUCUCUUCCUUAGCAACACUUCCCAUCUCUCAGUCUUUCAGUACAAUUCUCUUCCUCCCUCUGAGCCAAUUUUGCAGGACACCAACUUGCCUCUCGCAUUCUCUUUGCUUCCACCCACCUGCUCCAGGGUGUUGGCUUCCUGUAGAAUGUGAAAAAAAAGCUUCUUGAUGUUGGGGGCUUGUAAUCCCCACCCCUCUUCUUGCUUGCCUUUGUAGAAGGGAAGUCCUUAAGCAGGGAAAUUGCAGCAGAUGAAUGCCUUUGGCUUUCAAAUGCUAGUGAACCUGAGUGUUCAGAGGGGUAGGGCACCUGAAGCUCCUAUUGACUUUGGCUACUAGGAAUUUCUGCAAUGCAGGCGCAAUAUUGCUAAUGGUCAUAAAGAGAUUAAAGAAAAAAAAAAAAAACUAAGGAAGAAAUUUCAUGUCCCAACUCAAAUCAGCCAAACCAGUUCCAAAUCUGUGAGUUAUAUGUGGCCCUGCUACUGGCAAGCAGCCUCCACCCCCACCUGAGGCUUCAGAUGCUUCCAAAUCCUUUGGUGAGCAUCCUUCAUACGUGCAUGCCCAAACCCAGAAGCUUGGGGUUCUACUUGCCCUCAGCUAUACUUCCCCUCAGCUGUAUGGCCACAGGGGCAAGCUAGGGAGAAGUCUCCCAUUUCCAUGAAGUCGGCGUAUAGCUGAGAUCUUCCCACUGGAAGUGAAAGUGGAAAGCUAACUAUGCAUUAUCUCAGUCAGGGUACUACCCCUUGUCACAUUCAUGGUUUUCCCCAGCCAGAAGAAAAACCACUUUCAUGAUCGUGGUAUUUCCUCUGCUCAGGGGAGGAAGCACCUCGUUUAUUAAAUACAUACAUGUUCCCACAUUGUCUCGUUACCACAGUGUUACCAGCCUAUCCACCCAUGGCAGUCCCACCAAAGACUCUGUGGCCCCCUUUAGUUCUUUAUUAAACCAUUUCACUGAAUAAAAGAGGAUUUGAAAAGCAAAACAGUGAGUCCUUUAUCCUCCCUGCCUGGCAGUUGGUCAGGUGCCUGCAUAUACAGUCCAAUUUUCUGUUUGUAACCUGCUUACAGCUCACACCCAACCAAAGCAGAUCCCACUGGAAGCUGUCACAACUCAAAGUUGUGAGUUUUUGUUUGUGUGCGCUUUGGCAACGCUAAAUUAUGUUUCCGCUAAAAUUACAGCUUCCUUGCACGGCGGAGUUCUCUGCUGCGGGAGAGAACUCCGGUGCAACGGGGAAUUUCCCGCCAGAUUUGUAUCCUUCUUUGCAUGGUGCAUUUCUUUUGCAUCUCAGAGAUGCAUGGUGCAAAGGAGUUCCCGCCAUUUGUAUUCAGAUUUGCGCCACAUUAUUGGCCAAUUCUGAGAAAAGGCAUACGUGGUGGCUAGCUAUUGGCUUGCUAGCCGUACAAAAGGCUUGGGUAGUUUCCGCCCAAGUUGGGGAGAGAGGAAAACUGGAGAGAGACAGAACUUGCCAGGAGGAGGAGACUUCACGCUGUGUGAAGAUCUCUAAGCGAUGUGGACCCUUGCAGACCCAACACGCCUUUCUUAAGCAGGCAACAGAGGUCUGAACAGCCUCUGGCCUCUCCCCGUCGCCGAGCGCAAUCCUAGACGUAUCCCUUUCCUAUAUACCCAAUUUUCGAACCCACGGAGCUUUAACAACUCCGGGGCCUGGGAACCGAACAGAGCCCACGGAGCUUCGACAACUCCGUGGGAAAGAAUUGCCGAACCCGCGGAGCCUAAACAACUCCGGGGCCAAAGAACCGAAUUUGUCGUAGUCCUCCAACGAGGAUUUAAGCGGAGCUGCACCUGGAAACUGUCCAGCCUACACCGCGACCAUCUUGGGUGUAAGUAAAUAA